rnacentral:rRNA from 1 species
GACGAACGCUGGCGGCGUGCCUAAUACAUGCAAGUUGAGCGCUGAAGGUUGGUACUUGUACCGACUGGAUGAGCAGCGAACGGGUGAGUAACGCGUGGGGAAUCUGCCUUUGAGCGGGGGACAACAUUUGGAAACGAAUGCUAAUACCGCAUAAAAACUUUAAACACAAGUUUUAAGUUUGAAAGAUGCAAUUGCAUCACUCAAAGAUGAUCCCGCGUUGUAUUAGCUAGUUGGUGAGGUAAAGGCUCACCAAGGCGAUGAUACAUAGCCGACCUGAGAGGGUGAUCGGCCACAUUGGGACUGAGACACGGCCCAAACUCCUACGGGAGGCAGCAGUAGGGAAUCUUCGGCAAUGGACGAAAGUCUGACCGAGCAACGCCGCGGGAGUGAAGAAGGUUUUCGGACCGUAAAACUCUGUUGGUAGAGAAGAACGUUGGUGAGAGUGGAAAGCUCAUCAAGUGACGGUAACUACCCAGAAAGGGACGGCUAACUACGUG